CUGGAACCAGCCAUCUUUGACCUGCAGGAACAAGUCCUGGCUCCACACUCGGCCCUGGGCAUCCAUCUCUUGCAGCUUCUGCAGCGCAUCCUUGGGCUCCCGGACUCUCUGUGUCCCCAGCUUACAUGUCAUCAGGGAACCCCGAGGUUCCAGAAGUGACCUUUGAAAAGGCUUCCUUAGGAAAGCUUUUCCUGUCACGUUCUUCACUACCCUGAAACCUUGGACCAUGCUGGGCAUCAUUCUGCCUCUGGUUUUGAACUCUAAGAACUCAGCAGUAGCACAUGUGGCCAGAUGAGAGGCUGGGAUUCACCCCCAUCCAAAAGGAUUCCUGAGGGCCAUCUUUCCUACUUAGUGUUUGGAGCUCCCAUCCCCAGACAAAUACACAGCAAAGAAGAUGAAAUCACCUGAACUUUAUGAUCACAACUCAAUCAACGCAACGAGUGCCACCCCAGCAUGCUUCACUUCAGACUGUGUCCAGAGACUUCAGGUGUGGAAUGACAACCCUUCAGCUUCAUCACUCGGCCACCAGGUUCUGGAUGCCAGCAUGAUGUCUACCAGACUUCCCUGGACAGACGACCCCACCAAUGUGUACUGGAACUCCACUUCCCCAGAGACCCACCAUACUAGGGAAAGAGAGAGGCAGACUGGGAGUAUGGACCGACCAGUCAAUGCCCAUGUUCAUCAGGGAAGCAAUUACAGAAGCCAGACCUUCCACCUUCUGCAUCCCACAAUGACCUUGGGUCCAUACUCCCAGAGGGAUAGAGAAUGGGAA